CAAAGGCUGUGGCAACGGAAAGGGGAAAUUCAGCAAAUAGAAAGGCUGUUUUAAGCACAGAACAUUGAAAAGCUGAGGAAAGACUGUUUCUUGAAGAAAACUGGGCAGAGGAAAAAUCUCCCAUCAAGACAAAUGGUGCAUUCCAGAACCCUGGCAUAAGCUGACAUCUUGGAAUUCUGAGACAAAGAGGUUCUCUUCUUGGUAUGGCAGACAUCAUGGCUGACCAAUUCUGUUCUCUUUAUUUUCUUUCUGCCUAAGAUAGUCAUGUGAUGUGACUCCAGCCAAUGACAUUCAAGAGUACAGUGUGUUAUUCAGAUGGGCUGCAGUGUUUCAGGAAUCAUGAGCAAAACCACCAGCUGAUGGAACCACAAAAGCACAAAGGAUCUUGACUGCAUCAUCCAGCAACUUUCCUGGGCCUGGACUUGCUACUUCUGGGUCAAUUGUUAGGAAAACAAAUAAACCAGUCAUUUUAAGAAAAAAAUAAAUAAAAACAUGACUUCUUUUCAGUACCUUAUGUGAUCUUCUUCUCUGGCUUUCGAAGUCUAAAUU
rnacentral:lncRNA from 1 species